UACGUAGGGGGCGAGCGUUGUCCGGAUUUAUUGGGCGUAAAGAGCUCGUAGGCGGUUUGGUAAGUCGGAUGUGAAAUCUCCAGGCUCAACCUGGAGGGGUCAUUCGAGACUGCCAUGACUAGAGUUCGGUAGAGGAGAGUGGAAUUCCUGGUGUAGCGGUGAAAUGCGCAGAUAUCAGGAAGAACACCAAUGGCGAAGGCAGCUCUCUGGGACGGUACUGACGCUGAGACGCGAAAGCGUGGGGAGCGAACAGG
rnacentral:rRNA from 1 species